AUACGCUCCCCUCCCUAUCACGCAACGACGCGCCCACGUCCCCGUUGUCAUCAUGCCGCGUGCUCACCAGAAGGUCGAGGCGGACAGCUCCAUUUUUUCUCGCAUCGUGGAGCAAGGAUGGGUGGCCUUCUUAAUUCUUGGCGCCUUGAUGAUUGGACUGCGACUGUAUAACGUGAAACAGCGUCGCGACCAACGAAAGCUGCUGCGGGAGGAGAUUAUAGCAGAAAUGGGGUACCGCAGCAAGGCGAGUCGCAAAGGGGACUAAGAUUUCCGUCCCGCUUUGCGUGCGCUUCCUCGGCCCCCUUUCCCUCCAAGGGCAUUGACAGCACUAUUCCGACGUCUGCGCUACAUGCAGUAGCUGGGGCACCGUCUCUCUCACAGACAUCACCGCUUCCGAUUUUUAUUAUUUAGCAUGUCCAUUCUCUGUCACGGUGCAUCGGAGCUUAGCUUCAAUCCACGCUAUGCCGGGCCCUGCCACGGGCACAUCGCGUGGUGCCAAGCAGCCCUGCACACACACGCCCUACAGCAACGCGCCGGCUCAGCCAUCCGAGCACGGCCCCCGCCUCAUACUCCACACCACCGCCGCGCUCUGCAGGUCGCCGCACACCCGCACCCGUCACGCCGGCGCCCACCUGCUGUGCAUCCCCGUAGGGGUGGCACACAGGCCCCCUCCCCCCGCACCAGCAACGGCAGUCGGGGCCGGGUGCAAUGCGUUCCAGCCACGCCGACACCCUGCCUACCACAUGGACGGCACAAGCGUGUUCGCUGUCGCGGGCCACCCCGACGCAACGCCACCCAGGGCCCCACCGCCGACACAUCAGUGUGGCCAUGCAUCGCACAGACCCCCCCCCCCUGCCACGUCGUAGGCACUCUCGACCCUUGUCACCACGAGAAGUGGGGCUCCGGCGCUGGCAGGGGAUAGGAGGGGGAGAGGGAGCUGCCUGGGCAUACACCGCAUACGGCGUGCGGUGUGCUGGGCGCUGAGGUACCACGCAGAGUGAGGGGUGUCCCUCUGUCAUUGGGGUACCCUUGUUUUGCCAAGUACCAUAACACACCGUUCAGCUGAGAAGUUCGGAUGCCAGGGCAGACUGCCAAGCAUGACACAGAAUUAUGACAGGAACACCGCAUCAGCAAACAGGUUUGAAUGCUGUCCCGUUUUUUAUGUUGGGGGCUUAAGGGUAAGAUGUCCCACGUCUCCGAGCGGCUUGUAGGAGGUCACCACUAGGCGGGUCGAGUCUAUUGGCGCCGCAGGAUCCUCAUUGAGGAUGAUAUCGUAGCUUGCAUGCCUUUCGCCGCCUUCCUGGUUCUCUGCGCGUGCGCCUUCUCUGUUGAUGACCCAGUGUUCUCGCCCGUCUAGCAUUGCAUUGUUGCGAUCCUUUUCCUUUCUCCUUCUCUCCCGUGUGAAAAACCUGGCUCAACGAGGAACUCAAAACGGCAAGUGAAG
rnacentral:misc_RNA from 1 species